GGGUCGGGUCGGGUUGGCUGCGCGACGCGACGCGACGCCCACAGCGGGGCGCCCCGGGCUGGACGGAGCGGAGUCGUCGCCUCGUGUUCGCUGCAGCUGCUAGUAUGAGGCGGCCGCUCCACUCCACACGAUCCGGAUAGCCAUGUCCGUGCGACGGGUGCGCAACGACUCGCGCGAUGGCUCGCAGAAAGGAUCCGCGUUGCCGGGAGGGCUCAACUCGCCGCGCGGGGGCUCGCUCCGAGAGCGCCACUACUCCAGCUCGG